ensembl:lncRNA
GCUAAACACUUCUCGUCAGUUAACAUCAACUUUAACAACAAGACACACUUUGAACAAUAUCUCCUCAAGACUACUAUUAACAGAAUCUCCUGUGGUUUGGUUUGAGGGUAAACACAGUCAGUAACUAAGCCACAAGCUAAUAGCAGUUGUGUUUGAAUGAAACGAGUGAGAGCGCGGUGCUGUGAUACGAGAGAAGUCAAAGAAACGCCCGACUCAAAUACCGUAUGACUGUGUUAUUCUGCUGCUAAUGACAACACACACCUAAUGAAUAACACACCUCAGAAUGACACGACUGACCAAUCAGAAUCCAGUAUUCCAGCUAGCUGUGCAAUAAUUUCACUUAUUUACUGAGACCAACACAAACAUGUUUAAACUAGAAGACAAACAGCUUUAACUAGUGCAACAUUUAACUGAAAGACUUUUGUUUUAAGACAAAAUCACAUUUGUAUUUGUUUCUUGUCAUUUAUUAUAUUUGGUGUACACUCAUUAUGUUAGUAUGUGUUUCUCUUUAUAUUGACUCAAUAGAGACACAAACAAAAAUGGAAUUCAUGUUCUAAAUGUAUUCUAUUUAAAACACAGAUACUGUUUUUUAAAUACGUAUCAGAAUCAGGUAUAGUCAGGAAUUAAUUUGAUUACAGGAAUUUAAUGCAACUUUUUACUCAAAAACGAUGAUUGAUAUAUUUUAACUAAUUUGUUCUUUAUUCCACUGAACUCUGAUUAUCUUCUCAUUUCACCUUACAGAGUAGAUAGAGAUGCAUCACCAAAAGCUGUUAAAUGCUGUAUAUCAUAAAGUGAAGUGGUCUUGAGAGGAGCAGUAAACAUCAGCUGAAGAUCCACAGAAGAGCUUCACUACUGUGUCUAUGAGGAGAAAUAAAUGUGUGAUAAAUGUGUAAAUGUGAUCCAUACAGGUGAAGAGACUCAGACUUUACAAUGAAAUAAUGCAGCAUGUGUGUUAGAAACAUGAUAUUGAAUGAUUAAUGUUGCUUUAGUAUUCAAGCAGAUGAUCAUUGUGUUUAAUAAUAUUUGUAUUAAACUCAUUCAUAAUGAUUCAAAUCUUUAAAUAUGAUUGUCAAGUGCAGCACUUAAAUGUAUCAAAAUAUAUUAAGCAAAUCUACAGUGUGUGAAAUU